AGGUGGAACCAAAGGUUUUGUGGAAGCCAAACCAGCAUUUACUGAAGCAGCUUUACAUAUAGAAGUCCAUCUCACUUCUAUGAUUUGCCUGUUGACGGAACCAGUGUGCAAAGAUCACCAUUCAUACAAGGAAAUGGACAAUUAUCUUGGGAAUAUAGUGCUCAGUUACAGGUAUCCAGUGUUAGUCCAUUAUCUCACCAAGGAAAGCAGGAGCAGUUUUCAUCACCUCCAAAGGACAAUGGCUUUAUUCCAAAUACUGAAGAUGUUUUUCAAAUAGGAAGGAAACGAAAG
rnacentral:lncRNA from 1 species